GGGGAGGGUUAUGACUCAGUGGAAGAGCCUCUGCUUUGCAUGCUAGGAGGUCCCAGGUUAAAACGCUGGCUUCUCCU
rnacentral:tRNA from 1 species